UACGUAGGGGGCAAGCGUUGUCCGGAUUUAUUGGGCGUAAAGAGCGUGUAGGCGGCCUGACAGGUCUGCUGUGAAAACUCGAGGCCCAACCUCGAGAUGUCGGCGGAAACCGUCUGGCUAGAGUCCGGAAGAGGAGAGUGGAAUUCCUGGUGUAGCGGUGAAAUGCGCAGAUAUCAGGAAGAACACCUAUGGCGAAGGCAGCUCUCUGGGACGGUACUGACGCUGAGGCGCGAAAGCGUGGGGAGCGAACAGG
rnacentral:rRNA from 1 species